rnacentral:rRNA from 1 species
AUUGAACGCUGGCGGCAUGCCUUACACAUGCAAGUCGAACGGUAACAGGGAGCUUGCUCCGCUGACGAGUGGCGAACGGGUGAGUAAUAUAUCGGAACGUACCAUUGAGUGGGGGAUAACGUAGCGAAAGUUGCGCUAAUACCGCAUAUUCUCUCCGGAGGAAAGCAGGGGACCGCAAGGCCUUGCGCUCAUUGAGCGGCCGAUAUCAGAUUAGCUAGUUGGUGGGGUAAAAGCUCACCAAGGCGACGAUCUGUAGCGGGUCUGAGAGGAUGAUCCGCCACACUGGAACUGAGACACGGUCCAGACUCCUACGGGAGGCAGCAGUGGGGAAUUUUGGACAAUGGGGGCAACCCUGAUCCAGCCAUGCCGCGUGAGUGAAGAAGGCCUUCGGGUUGUAAAGCUCUUUCAGCGGAAGAAACGCAUGGUUAAUACUGAUGUGGAUGACGGUACCGGAAGUAAGAAGACACCGGCUAACUACGUGUCCAGCAGCCC